ACAAAUAUCAUCCAAAAUAUCUAAAGCUGAGUAAAUAGAGAUAGAUAAAAUAGUUUAACAUACUAUAAUUCAUCACCUUUUAACUCAUUUCAACCAAAUAAAAUUAAUUCAUAUAAAUCGAGUAAUCAACAUAGCUUAUGAAUUUCUUAAAACUUUGGCUCGUGCCAAAAUCAUUUUCAUACUCAGUUAUCAGGGAUACCUUGGUCGAGGGCUAUCCCAAUCGAUACCGCCAAGGCUGUUAAAAAGUUAUGUACGCAUAAAUCAUGUUUUUUAUUUUGAAAACAUAGUCGCUCCUUGGCAUUGGCUGAGUUCACCCUCACGUGGUGGUUUGGCGUGAAGUGAACUCUAAAGUUUAAACCUCAGGAGUUAUCCAACUGUGCCUCUCAUACUGAGGUAUGAAUAUAAUAGGGUUAUCGUGCCCCUCUAAUAGGCUAGUCCAUGGAAUGCGUCCACUGCAGCGACCAAUAUAUAACCCAUCAAUUCAAUAAAAUUCAACAGCAUGACAUGACAAUUAUUUUAUUUUACAGCCUCUCAAGGCAAAUUAACAGUUCACACAUUUUCAACACAAAUACCAAUUCAGUCAUUCAUGUCAAUAUUAUCAUAAGCCAUUCAAUUCAAAUAAUGAUUUAUAACACAGCAAUUAGUCUCAAAUUACUCCAUUUUCAAAACCAUCUUUCAAUUUCAAGACAAUUUUAUAAAUCAUUUUCAUUUAAUCACAUUUUACUUAUAAAACAUAAAGAUUUACCAUUUCAACUCAUUUUCCAUAAAAUCACAAAAUCGGAUAAAAACCACUUUAGAUAAUUAAGACGAUAGUAAGGUUACUCACUAUUUUGGGAGUCGAAUUCCAAGUAUUCCGAUUCUUUAUCCUCGAGUACUAUCUCUUUACUUUUGUCAGAAUGCUUACCACCUAAACAUAAUGCACAAUAAGCCAUUUACUACAUUUGUGCUAAAUUGUUAUAAAACCAAUUCAAGCUCUAUACUAAUGCAUGAAAUGGAAUGCAAAUUGUUUGGAUUAUCGUCUAAAUAUGGUGUUCUACACAAAUUCAAUUGUGUACCUAAAUUAAACGGUAUUGACACAAUUCGAUCUAUCACUCGAUUAAUUGGUCAAUAUGUCCAAUUUAACUCCAAUUAACUUCAUUUUUCUUCCAAUUCUCCAAACCAUCAAACACAAGUUAAAUAACUUGAAAUAUGACAAAAUCAUCCUCACAUUUUCUCUUGGAAAAUUCGACCAUGGUGGGUGCAUCAACACUAUAAUUUUUCCUACUUGAUUUUCUCACCAUAAUUCAUCAUUUCCUAACCAAUUCACUUGAAAUAAAAUCAAAUCCACCAUCAACACUCUACAAGGAAGAUUCGGCCAAUGAUGAACUCAUGAGGAAUAUGUGAAUUUCAAGCUUAAUUCUUACACUUAACACCAUAAACAACUAAAAACAUCCAUAUAUCUUAAAAAUCUAUCUAAAUCAUCAUCAAAUUCUCUCUCCUAGGGUUUGAUCAGCACACUAUCCUUCAUGAUAUCUUGUGAUUCAACCAUGGAAAAUGCAAAAGAAUGUAUGGGAAAGGUAGAUCACAAGUCAAAAUCAAGAAAUUUUACCUUUGAUUGCUUGAUUACUUGAAAUCCACCAAUUUUCUCUUGAAUUUUCACCCUAGGGUUCUUGUUCUUUCUUUUCUUCCUUUGUUCUUGCUUUGGCCAGC
rnacentral:lncRNA from 1 species